UAAAGUGCCCCUCAGCAACAAAGAAAGCCUUUUUUUUACAUUCUCCAUUCCGUCGUUUUAUUAAUAAUACCUCGCACUGUAGUUUUUAAGUUCCAGUCUGUUUUUACGCUAUUCACGCCCCUUGAAGGCAAUUUCACAUUAAAAUUACAGGAUAUUAUUAUGUCUAAUAAAAUACAAGGAACCGUUAAAUGGUUCAACGAAGCGAAAGGUUUUGGAUUUAUCGAGCAAGCAUCUGGUCCAGAUGUAUUCGCUCACUUUAGUGCUAUCGCAAGCGAAGGUUUCAAAACCUUAGCUGAAGGCCAAAAAGUAGAAUUCUCUGUAAGCCAAGGUCAAAAAGGCCCGCAAGCAGACAAUAUUGUAGCACUUUAAUUUGCUGUGAUAUUUUAGCGCCGAUAGAGCGCUAAUUUAAUAAAAUAAAUGGUAGACCUUUACGGGUUUGCCAUUUUU
rnacentral:sRNA from 1 species